rnacentral:lncRNA from 1 species
ACAAACUAAGAUAAGAUUCAAUAUAAACUAGCAAUAAAAAUCAAAGAAAAGAAGAAAUAUCGUUUGGGUAUUCUCUCACAAUUGUUUUUCUCCUUCAAAGAACUCUAAAAACUGAAUACAUGCCUCCUUUGGGCGAAGUCUAAUGUUUAAAAUAGGGGUUUGAGCUAAAAAUCCCGUAUUUUGCACUUAAGUCCCUGAAGUUUCCUGCGCUUACCGCGGUUCUGCCGUGGUCGCGGUAGAACUGCGGCCAGAUAGCACCUCUGAUACUCAUCUCGUCCACGACAGCAUCUCACCGCGGUUCUACCGUGGUCGCGGUGGAACCACGUCAGUACAGUUCCUGUGAUUCUUCAGCCUGUUUUUUUGGGUGUGGUUCACUUAGGACUUUUCAUGGUUGGCCUCUUCUUCUUCAUUUUUGACUCCAAAAGUACUUCCGAGCCUUCUCUAGUCAUAUAUAACCUGCAAAUCAUGAAAAGUACUCAUAAGCCUUUUGUUAUCACUUUUAUUACCAAAACUAUGCAAGAGGGUGAGUAUUUAUGACCUGAAUAUAGUUAAAUUCACCUAUUAUCAAUACCCCACACCGAAACCUUUGCUCGUCCUCGAGCAAGCUAAACCAUACUUCUGGGCCUACCCGUUUGUUGCAUUACCCCAAGUUAUGUCACACCCACUAUUUUGACGAAACAACCUAAGCAAUGCGACAAUCAUACACCAGAUGCAGACUCUACUACCAUGACACACUCGUGCUCACUCUAU